CCCCCUUUCUCGGCGUCAGACACCCAGGCUUGUAUAACUUGUAAAAUGGCGGCGUCGGGACAUCUGUGCACUUCCCGGGAUUAGCAAAGCAGCUAAAGGAUGACUGUGUAAGGAGAGUGGAGACACUGUCCAGUUAAUGUGUCCGGUGCCUCUGUGCUCCUGGGUUGUGAAGUACAAUUGCCUGCCACCCUGAUUAUCUGACCCUCUCCAUACAAGAGGAAGAUAUGGGUAGUUUUUUGCAAUUCUCCCCAAACGGUUCCUGGUCCUGUGCCCAAUGAUGUGUGAUUCAAGGGUAACUUCUCAGAAUUCUCAGCCGUCUUCUGUGCAGUCUGACACAUGAAUGAAGAAAACCUCUGAAGAGUCCUUCUCUAGUCCAUCUGCUAUCCAGAUUUAUCCAAACCACCAUGCAACACAUGAGCACUGUCCCCCUGACGUGUGAAUUCAAAUUCCAGCCUUUGAUUCAAUGACUACCACCUGAUAAUGAUGUCUCAGUUCAGCAGGAAAUGGCUAGAAUGAUCUCAGUGCCACCUAGCCUCUGCCACCACCCUCUUUUCUAUAAAAUUGUCCUUCUGUUCCUUUUACAUAGACAAAAGGCUGAAAAUAUUAUGCCAUGUAAGUGAGGAGUGUGUCCAUCUCAGAAACAGGCCUUCCAGGUGGCAAAGCCCUAAACAGAGAGUGCUGCGGGCAAGGGCAUACUCAGUUCGUUGGCGCCCAGGGCCUAGAGGCCAGUGGGCACUGGCACACUGCAUAAGGUAAUUAUCAUCGUCACAGCUUUUAUGUGAGCAGACACGGCCUCGGAAAGUCAGGUUUGGAUGGCAGGCACCUUUACCCACUGAACCAUCUCACUGGUUCCUGUAGAGACCUUUCAGCUUUAUCCUUCUGAACUCCUUUGAUUUUAUGACUGGUCUUCAUGAUAAUAUGAAGUAAACUUAAAGAAUAAUUAAGGAUCAAAUGAUUAACAAUUUUAUUCAGACUCUACAAUGAGAAAUAAGAGUUGCAGUAAUUUUGUUUGUUUUAAGAGACAAGCUUUCAGCCAGGCACUGGUGGCACACGCCUUUAAUCCCAGCACUCAGGAGGCAGAGGCAGGCAGAUCUCUGUGAG